rnacentral:rRNA from 6 species
UUUCCAGAGAUGGAUUGGUGCCUUCGGGAACUGUGAGACAGGUGCUGCAUGGCUGUCGUCAGCUCGUGUUGUGAAAUGUUGGGUUAAGUCCCGCAACGAGCGCAACCCUUAUCCUUUGUUGCCAGCGAUUAGGUCGGGAACUCAAAGGAGACUGCCAGUGAUAAACUGGAGGAAGGUGGGGAUGACGUCAAGUCAUCAUGGCCCUUACGACCAGGGCUACACACGUGCUACAAUGGCGCAUACAAAGAGAAGCGACCUCGCGAGAGCAAGCGGACCUCAUAAAGUGCGUCGUAGUCCGGAUUGGAGUCUGCAACUCGACUCCAUGAAGUCGGAAUCGCUAGUAAUCGUGGAUCAGAAUGCCACGGUGAAUACGUUCCCGGGCCUUGUACACACCGCCCGUCACACCAUGGGAGUGGGUUGCAAAAGAAGUAGGUAGCUUAACCUUCGGGAGGGCGCUUACCACUUUGUGAUUCAUGACUGGGGUGAAGUCGUAACAAGGUAACCGUAGGGGAACCUGCGGUUGGAUCACCUCCUUA